AACUCUGUCAAGAUGGUAAAUUGAAAGCAGUGCCAUACCUCUGGGGCAUCGUGUUUUGUAAGAUCAAAGAGUGGUGAUUUCUUAUGUCCUCAUGGAAAAUCUUCUUAGGGCUACUGCAAAGUUUGUAAUGUAUGUUUCUAGUUUGUAAGGAGGGGACAGGUUUCAGUGUAUGCAUGCAGGCAUGCAUGUGUAUGUGAAAGUCAGUAGACAACUUUGGAUGCUGGUCCUCAGGACUUUCACUUUUGUUUGAGAGAGGGUCUCUCUUAUUGAUCUGGGACAUCCUCCUUCCCUCCUUGUUUGGUCACAGCGAGUCUCCCCUGCUCCCUUUCUUUCUCCAGAUUAGGCCAUGCCCCUACUGUAGCUCUUCUGCAUGGGUAGUUGAUGAGCAAGCCUGCUGUGGCCUAAUAGUGCCCCACUCCAUCUUCUGUAAGUGCAGUCCCACCCCCAUACCCAAACAAAAGACCACCUUGAAAUGCCUUGUGAUACUGGCAUGGUAGGCUUGGUCACGUGGCAUGGAACUCCCCCAGCCCUUAUACAGGUACAGGAUUCCCUUUGUUUAUCUGGAAGUGGAGUGUCUCCCUUCAGGACGCUUGUGUUGCUAUCAGUGGCGAUUGUCUCUCCUAAUGCAGCUCCUAGUUAUAUCUACACACAGAUUAGUAGGAAGUACCAUGAUGUCAUACGCAAAGAACUGAGGAUCAGAGUUUAAGGACAUCUCCCUUGAAUGCAGGUGAAUAAAGAGGCAGAGCUCUGCAUCCUUGAGCUGUACAGGUAUGUUGUGUCAUGUCCCUUUUGAAAUCAGAGGCAGAUAGAAUGUGUUGAGCACAUUUUUUUUCUAGAUUUUUCAAGACACUGGAGCCUGGGCAGUCAGGCAAAGCUGAGGUACACACGCUUUGCUCAGGAAAGGGAAAGACACUUUCAGAGGUGUUCUUAUUUGAUUUCUUCCUAAUCCAGCAGUAUCUCAUUGUUGUUAGAACUCUUAGACUACAUGUCUCUUUUAUCCAACCACUAGCCCCUUCCUGGCCUGGUAACUGGAGAUACUUGCUCAACUCCAAAGUCUAGAAGUCAGACUUUCUGUGUCAGGAUCAGCUGGCAGCAACAGUCUAUUGUCAUGUGGUCAUGAGUGCCGCAGACCCUCUGGGUCCCUUUGUCUGCGUAGGACAGGUCUCUGGGUGCAUAUGGGCAAGGAGUCAGCGAAAUGACAGACAGAUGCACACAGGAGAUUGUGUAGAAUCUGAAUGUAACAUCAAGUCGAGCAUUGAACUUUUUAUACAGAAGAAUAACAAGAAACCUGGCGAGUCACAGUGACACAAUACAAAAGGAAUGUAUACAUCAAAAGAAGGCGGAGACCAGGCUGCUGCCACAAAGAAGGGAGCCAGGUGUAAAGCUAGUCUAUUGUGAAGCCCACCACCAGGGGUUCUGCUCUAGCAGACCUUCUCAUGAAUAAUGCAAUACCACAACCCGCCUAUUUCCUGGGCCCUGAUAAAUUCUUGUAUGAGUGUAACUUUUAAGUAUCUGUGGAGAAUCUCCAUUUGUCAGAAGAAUUCACCAACUUGCUUCUAACAUGCAAUGUAGCCUGCUAUACCUGGCUGUACUGAAGAUUUCUAUCUCAGUGGGAUUCCCUAACUCUUACAUGGUAAACCCACCUAUUAGCUAGGCCAUUGUGUAUGGGUGAGACUGGCUACUGCCUCAAGUAAACACUCUGCAGACCAGCCCUGAGCUAUUCCAGCUUGGUUCUUUGUAAUGCUUAAUUAAUUUCACUGUCUCUACUAGAAGUAAAUUUGAAUGUUACUGAAUAGGUAACCUUCUCACUGAAUUCCUACUGAAUUCCCAGUUUUUCGGCUUCAAGGGUUUUCUGGGACGUUGGAACACUGGUGAAGGCUUAGCUAUGUAAGAAUUCAAUCUUAAAAGGCACUUAUAAUAAAAUAAUACUAAAAGAGAGCACAUGGAUCCAUACACCAGACUAACGCAGGGAUAGGGUAUGAGUAUACAGGUUAUGAGAAUGCCAAAGUUCCAGGAGGUGAAUUUCCAUGAAAGUCUGCCUUGUGAGUGCCCCCAGGCCUCUAGGCCUGCCAAGCAAACUUCACUGGAGUGUGCGUAGCACAUGAGUGACUAUGUGGGAUGGUUAUGUUUCUUCUCUCAGGUCAGGAAAGGGUAUCAUCAGACCUUCAUGGCAUUUAUGUCUUAUGCCUUCUUCACUGCUCACUCUAGUAAAUCUUGCCUUUCUUAGGGGAUGUAAAAGGCCAGGGGAUAUUCUAGUGAGCUUUUUUUAAUGGUCUAGCAAAGCUCCCUCAGAAAUCCUGAUGGUAGGAACAUUUUUUUGGGAAGCAUUAUUGAGAAAUCCAGGGAAUGUUGUAGCAGGCACGCCUAUCUAGCCUGAGUGAGCUAAAGGUUACAGGUGACAGAAUGUCUUCUGAGUACUGAAUACUUCUUUUUCUGUUCCUCAGAAAAAGUUGAGAAGCAUUUGCCAGCCCCACGCCAAGCAUGCAUGUUCUGCACAGCUCAGGGCUGAUUUACCACGUAUGAUAUCAGUACUUGUGUAUAUAUGUCUGCUUCCCCCUUUCAUGCUGCUGUUCUGAGUUAUGCUGGACUCUUGCCCUGUAAUUUUUUUUUCUUUUUCUUUUCUUUUUCUUUUCCUCUUUCUUUCUCUCUCUCUCUCUCUCUCUCUCUCUCUCUCUCUCUCUCUCUCUCUCUUUCUUUACCAGAAGUCUCAGUGUUAAGCUUUGUUAAUAGAGGAUGUUAGAAGGCCCUACAGGAGGACAGGGCUUCAGUAACCUCCCAGGAUGCCCCUAAUUUGUCCCUAUUCCUAGCUAUCUGGGUUCGGUCCAGCCCCAAUUAAUUUUUUUUCCUUUGUAAGAGUUGCUGUGAAAAUGCUAUCUUUUUUCCACUGGAUGGUUUUAGCUCUCUUGAUAAAGAUCAAGUGACCAUAAGUGUGUGGAUUCAUUUCUGGGUCUUCAAUUCUAUUCCAUUGAUCUACCUGUCUGUCAUUGUACUAGUACCAUGCAGUUUUUAUCACAAUUGUGCUGUAGUACAGCUUAAUGUCAGGCAUGGUGAUUCUACCAGAGGUUCUUUUAUUGUUGAGAGGAGUUUUGCUAUCCUAGGUUUUUUAUUAUUCCAGAUAUAUUUGCAAAUUGCCCUUUCUAUCUCAGUGAAGAAUUGAGUUGGAAGUUUGAUGGGGAUUGCAUUGAAUCUGUAGAUUGCUUUCAACAAAUGGUGCUGGCACAACUGGCGGUUAUCAUGUAGAAGAAUGCGAAUUGAUCCAUUCUUACCUCCUUGCACAAAGCUCAAGUCUAAGUGGAUCAAAUAACUGCACAUAAAACUAGAAACACUGAAAUUUAUAGAGGAGAAAAUGGGGAAAAGCUUCAAAGAUAUGGGCACAGGGGAAAAAUCCCUAAACAGAACAGCAAUGGCUUGUGCUGUAAGAUCAAGAAUUGACAAAUGGGACCUCAUAAAAUUGCAAAGCUUCUGUAAGGCAAAAGACACUGUCAAUAAGACAAAAAGGCCACCAAGAGAUUGGGAAAGGAUCUUUACUAAUCCUAAAUCUGAUAGGGGACUAAUAUCCAAUAUAUACAAAGAGCUCAAGAAGCUGGACUCCAGAAAUUCAAAUAACCCCAUUAAAAAUGGGGUACAGAGCUAAACAAAGAACUCUCUGAAAGACCCACAAUGUGAGGACUCCCCCACCUUCUCACUCAGGAGAGGCGACACCCCAAAUCACUCACGAGAAACGGUCUUGCUGCAAACUGCAAGAGGACUUUUUGUUUCAAGAGCACUCUUGGGCCCACAGUCAUACACCACACAGGGGUAGAGGACCAUGGCACGACGAGUAGCUGGGUAAGUGGGUAUUUAAAGGAAGAAACCACAACUCAAGGAGAUGGGGAGGGCAUUGUUGGAAAAUACCAAAAAUACCAGUUAAGAGUCACAAGGAAGUGCAAAGUCACAAGAAUCACAAGGAAUACCUGGUAAUUGUGCAGGUUAUUUCUCAAGACAGUUUAAGAGCCCCUAACAACAGCACAUUUGCAUAGCGGGUUUCAGCAAUGGUCAGGGUGGGUCAGGGUGACUUUUUUUGAAGGAACACUCCUUGAACCCAGGAAUCGGGUGGGUGGAGGAAUGUAACUAUCUGUUUUAUGAUUAGCAUACCUUGGAGCAUUGAGUCACAGAGGUCACAUUCUCAAGGCUGGGCCUAAAGGCCUAGAAUUUUGCUUUUACGUUAUACUUUUUCAUUCUCAACUGAGGGAUACUGAAGGGCUGAGAAGCACCUGAAAAAAUGCUCAAUAUUCUUAAUCAUCAGGGAAAUGCAAAUCAAAACAACCUUGAGAUUCCACCUCACACCAGUCAGAAUGGCUAAGAUCAAAAAUUCAGGUGACAGCAGAUGCUGGCGAGGAUGUGGAGAAAGAGCAACACUCUUCCAUUGUUCGUGGGAUUGCAAGCUUGUACAACCAUUCUGGAAGUCAGUCUGGAGGUUCUUCAGAAAAUUGGACAUAAUACUACAGGAAGAUCCAGCAAUACCCCUCCUGGGCAUACACCCAGAAGAAGUUCCAACUGGCAAUAAGGACAAAUGCCCCAAUAUGUUCAUAGCAGCCUUAUUUAUAAUAGCCAGAAGCUGGAAAGAACUCAGAUGUCCCUCAACAGAAGAAUGGAUACAGAAAAUGUGGUACAUUUAUUUACACAAUGGAGUACUACUCACCUAUUAAAAACAAUGAAUUUAUGAAAUUCUUGGAAAAAUGGAUAUAUCAUCCUUAGUGAGGUAACCCAAUCACAAAAGAAGUCAUUAGAUAUGUACUCACUGAUAAGUGGAUAUUAGUCCAGAAACAUAGAACACCCAAGAUACAAUUUGCAAAACACAGAAAAUCAAGAAGAGGGAAGAUCAAUGGUGGAUACUUCGUUCCUCCUUAGAAUAGAGAACAAAAUACUCAUGUAAGGAGUUACAGAGACAAAGUUUGGAGCUAAGACAAAAGGAUGGACUAUCCAGAGACUACCCUACCUGGGGAUCCAUCCCCUAAUCAGCCACCAAACCCAGACACUAUUGCAUGUGCCAGAAAGAUUUUGCUGAAGAGAUCCUGAUAUAGCUGUCUCGUAUGAGGCUAUACCAGUGCCUGGCAAAUACAGAAGUGAAUGCUCACAGUCAUCUAUUGGGUGGAACACAGGGCCCCCCAAUGGAGGAGCUAGAGAAAGUACCCAAGGAGAUGAAGGGGUCUGCAACACUAUAGGUGGAACAACAAUAUGAACUAACCAGUACCCCCAGAGCUCGUGUCUCUAGGUGCAUAUGUAGCAGAAGAUGGCCUAGUCGGCCAUCAUUGGGAAGAGAGGUCCCUUGGUAUUGCAAACUUUAUAUGCUCCAGUACAGGGGAAUGCCAGGGUCAAGAAGUGGAAGUGGGUGGGUAGGGGAGCAGGGCGGGGGAGGGGGAGAGUAUAGGGAACUUGGGGCGGUGUACAGGGAA
rnacentral:lncRNA from 1 species